AGUGAACGCUGGCGGCGUGCUUAACACAUGCAAGUCGAACGAGAACGGACUAUAGCUUGCUAUAUUUGUCAGCUAAGUGGCGCACGGGUGAGUAAUGAAUAGCUAACCUGCCCUUAAGACAGGAAUAACAGUUGGAAACGCCUGCUCAUGCACUAUAUGCCUUGAAUACAUAAGUAUACAAGGGAAACGCUUUAGUGCUUAAGGUUGGGUCUGUAUGGUAUCAGCUUGUUGGUGAGGUAAUGGCUCACCAAGGCUAUGACGCCUAACUGGUUUGAGAGGAUGAUCAGUCACACUGGAACUGAGACACGGUCCAGACUCCUACGGGAGGCAGCAGUGGGGAAUAUUGCACAAUGGACGAAAGUCUGAUGCAGCAACGCCGCGUGGAGGAUGACACAUUUCGGUGCGUAAACUCCUUUUAUAUAGGAAGAUAAUGACGGUACUAUAUGAAUAAGCACCGGCUAACUCCGUGCCAGCCGCCGCAGUAA
rnacentral:rRNA from 1 species